UACGAAGGGGGCUAGCGUUGCUCGGAAUGACUGGGCGUAAAGGGCGCGUAGGCGGUUUGUACAGUCAGGUGUGAAAUUCCCGGGCUCAACCUGGGGGCUGCACUUGAUACGUAGGAACUUGAGUGGGGAAGAGGGUCGUGGAAUUCCCAGUGUAGAGGUGAAAUUCGUAGAUAUUGGGAAGAACACCGGUGGCGAAGGCGGCGACCUGGUCCGUUGACUGACGCUGAGGCGCGAAAGCGUGGGGAGCAAACAGG
rnacentral:rRNA from 1 species